UCAUCUGAACAUUGAUUAUGACUCGUGACAUAAAAAAUGUUCAAAUUGUUAAUUCAAGUCCGAUGUUGUCUCUUUUCUGAUCAUUUCUGUUAUAUCACGUUAAACCCAGAUGUGAAUUUCCCCAAAACUGAAGAUGGUUGACAGCUAGAAUACCAAUGAAAGAACUAAAGCUAGAGACAGGGAAUCUCUAGGGAGGAGAUUCAGACAGACAACAAAGAUUCGAGGGGCUACAGCCAGAUUGAUCCAGCUUUGAAAUCUACUGUCACUACAGUAUCCAGCCCAAUUGAACAUGGCACUCCUAUCGUACCUUACAUCCAGGACCGACACCACCGUAUCCCCCAAAGCAUGACAGGUUCAAUUCACCUCCACCUGCUUAAACAUUCUAUCUCCAGCCAAAAGCAAGUCCUUAGUAGUUUUGAAAGACUGGGCUAUUUCAAAGUUCAGGUUGUUGUCUGAAGCCUUAAAUCAGGUUCAGCAUGUUUCGCAAGCUGCCCUUAGUUUGUUUGCCUGUAUGAUGGUCUAAAAGGCAAACAUGCAUACUUCGUUGUAGCAAACUUACUUUUCUAAUGCUUGUUUUUGGCUUGAAGAUUCUGAAAA